CCUACGGGUGGCAGCAGUGAGGAAUAUUGGUCAAUGGGCGCGAGCCUGAACCAGCCAAGUAGCGUGAAGGAUGACUGCCCUACGGGUUGUAAACUUCUUUUAUAAAGGAAUAAAGUGAGGGACGUGUGCCUUUUUGUAUGUACUUUAUGAAUAAGGAUCGGCUAACUCCGUGCCAGCAGCCGUGGUAAUACGGAGGGUACGAGCGUUAUCCGGAUUUAUAGGGUUUAAAGGGAGCGUAGAUGGGUUGUUAAGUCAGUUGUGAAAGUGUGUGGCUUAACCGUAAAAUUGCAAUUGAUACUGGCCGCCUUGAGUACAGUUGCGCUAGGCGGAAUUCGUGGUGUAGCGGU
rnacentral:rRNA from 1 species